CAGUUUCAGCUCCAACAUAAACCAGAUAAGCCAAUCACCCAUCAAACUUCUCCUGUCUAGAAGAGCAUGGGGACUAAGUGACCAGACUUCACUUGUUACAUUCAGCCCAAGAUGAAACAGUUCCAGGAGCCUAUACUUCAGUGGGAGUAUACCAAGUGGGAGACUGACUCAAAAGAGUCACAAGCUCUUGGCAACCCAGUGGGACACCAUGUGAAAUGCUGCCACACAGCUCUCCUGAUUGGAAAGAGGAUACUUCUCACAAUGCUGGACACAGAGACACUGGAUGUGGAGUCAAGCCACUUUAUCCGCUGCUCCUCAGGAAUCAAUAAAUGUUAAAGAAAAGCUAUCAGAGCCUUAAGAGGUAAAGUCAUCGCCUCAGCCAGACAUGGAACUUCCAAUUUGGGGACUGAAGAAGGCAUUUGGCUUGGAAGGCACCAUGGUAGACGGCAUGGGCACAGGUCGACUGAUGGUGGCUAGUAAAGAAGGCUCCAACAAAGGAAGAGAAGGGGCUACAGCUUGGGUGGCUGCCUUCCCACAGAGGCACAGGACACUUCUAUCCUGAAUCCAGGAAUCCAAGAAUGACUGGGGAGAUGGUGAGAAAAAAAAUGCAUUUUGAUGAAAAUCCAAUUAAAGGAACAAUUAACUGAGAGCUUACUCACACAACACUGCUUGAUGAGUUUCAGGAGGCUGCUGGAAGGGAUGGGCCUGUACC